UUGCGUCGUUCUGUGUUUCGCGCGCAUAGUGUUUUCAUUAUAGUACCUCCAAAAAAUGUAAACACACCUCGAGAAUGUUGAAGCGAGCCAUAACAUCGUGGAGAUGGAGCAAUAUAUGUGAGAUCGGAAUAAAUUCUUCGGCAUAUAUUCGUGUAACUCGCAGCUUAUCGCAUCACGUCGAAGAUUUUUCGUCGUUUUCAAGCAGCGAUACGAAGCUCUGUUUUUCGAACCUUUUCAACGUAUCUUGACAGUAUCGAAACUGACGAAUUAAACGACGGGCGAUCGUCUUGAAUCGAUUUACAGUACUGGCAGUGAAUUUCGGAACACAGCCUUAUUGGCACUUGAUCACGUGAUCGUGUGAUCAUCGUAGCGUCUAUUACGAAGUCUGUAGUGAAGUGGUUAGCGGAAUGACGAUGGAGAAAAUGGACGAACGAGGUGAGCGUCGUUCUGCGUUUCCCGCGCGUUUCUCUUCGUUGAAAUGAUUUUAGUACGCGAUAAAUUUCGGUAGUGUCGAAUCAAGCAAUGAACGAUCAUCGUGGAGCAUUAAUUAGUGCGUACGGUUAUGAAUAUUUCGACAUUCGCAUAACUCGCAGCCCGGCGCAUUGCGUCGAAAAUUUUUCGUCGUUUUCAAGCAGCGAUGCGAAGCCCCGGCUUUCGAAUUUUUUCAACAUAUCUUGAUAAUAUCUCGAGAUUGACGAAUCAAGCGACGGGUGAUUGUCAUGAAUCAGUACGUAUGGCUAUAAUUGCCCUUCGACUUCGUAAGGGUAACUAUUAUUUAUUGGAGCUUGGUCAUGUGAUCACGUGAUCAUCGUAGCGUCUAUUGCGAAGUCUGUUACGUAUGAAGCGAUUAGCAGGAUGACGAUGGAGAAAAUGGACGAACGAGGUGAGCGUCGUUCUGCGUUUCCCGCGCGUUUCUCUUCGUUGAAGUGAUUUUAGUACGCGAUAAAUCUCGGUAGUGUCCAUUCAAGCAAUGAAUAAUCAUCGUGGAACGUUAAUUAAUGCGUAUGAUUAUCAGUCUUGAUAUUCGUAUAUUGCAGUCCGUCGCAUCGCGCGAAUAUUGUGCUCGUCGAAUCUCCAAGCAUCAAUGUGAAGUCGUUUCGAACUUUUUCAACGUACCUCGGGUGCAGGGCAAAAUUACGGGCGAUCGUCAUGUUCUGCGUUAUUGUCCGGGAAUGCAUCAUGCAUGUAAUCGCGCGUCAGGAGUAUUGAAUGCAUUACCAAUCGACAUGACGAUAAUAACCUCUUUCGUUGAUAUUUGCAUUCAGCGUUUUUUCAUGUGCAGUGCUCGUCUAUUGGACGUUAUCGCGAUAUCAAAUUUUUUAAUCAUAAUUGUUUCGCGUUUGUAAUAAUCGAGCUUAUUUCGGAAUUAUCAUUGUUCGAGUUAAACGUUUUUCGCGUUUGUAAAAUUCGGGAGUGCCGUUUGAAUUACGGUCGUAUCGUAAGUGAUAAAUUAGUGCUACAUAUCAGCGGAGCAGAAUCAACGAAUUACAAUGGCGGAACUACCGGUUUGCAACGGCAGAAUCAAUGGUUUGCAGCUUCUGCUCGGAUGUCCUCAUCGGCUGACCAACUUUGUGCGCGUAAUCGGUGCUACAAAAUAUAUUCGUUCCGUCGUAUAGUAUAACAAAAUGUGCGUCGGGAGUGCUGUUAAUGCCGAGAGUUAUAGCGAAUCUAUAGAUGAACGCAUUUUUGCUGUAUGACAAAUAUUGGGACACGAUUUUUUUUGACUUUAGGCUUGGCUCGGGGGAGGGAAAGGUCGGUUUCAAUCAUAAAAUUUCCACUACGGCAGGGCAAUCUUCGGUUCUACGUGCAGCGCGCUAGUUGUACAGAUAGCCGGACUGUCAAAGGUAGUCGAGGACGGCUACCG
rnacentral:lncRNA from 1 species